CUCUAUCCACAAAAUCCUGGAGAGUUGUUCUCUCUCUUCUCUCUCAGGUGUUAAGAUGAUCAGACUCCCAUCCAAUGGUGGGAUCCCAUUUCUUCAACUUGAUCUAUAUUUACAGUUUCACUCACAGGACCCUCCCUCCCUUUGUGUGAAACGAAUCUUAUAGAUGAUGAGGGAAACAAGUAGACGCAUUUCUGAUUGGUGGAAUCUCUAUUCAGAAAGACUCCAAUGCUCACUACCAAUUUCAUGUUUAUCCACCAAGGUUUCGAGCCGGGGGUCUUUUUGGAAGCAGCCUCUUUAUCUAUAUGGAUAGAGGUAAGAUUUGCCUACUUCCCACCCUCCUCAGACCCCACCAAUAAUUUUGCUAUUUAUGAGACUUACUGAGUACGGUUGUUAUUGCUUUUAGGAAUAUGUGGUGUUUUUAUAUUCUCAUUGGAGAAAUCUUAAUAUUUUUAUCUUUUAGAUGGAUAUAUACGUUCUUGAUUUUUUUUUAAUGUCUAGAUUUAUUUACGUAUUUGAGAAAAAGUGAAUAGAUAAUUCAUUUUUACGGUGGAAAUUAUCGUUUUUUAUUGGUAUAUUGGAUUUUAAUAAUUUAAACCAGGAUGCCGUGACAUAAUAAUCUAUACCUGCAAUUUGAACAACGACACUCCUGUAACUUCCAUUUUCGUUGUUAAGAACAAUGCCACUCUAACGGAAAAGUAACUCCAUCUACCCUAAUGAAUAUGUACGUUUUAGAUGGAAAUUGACAUUCUUGAAUAUGUUUUUAGUGUGGGUAGGUUUAUCUUUUUGUUUGAGAAAAAGUGAAAUGGUGAGAUUUGAACUUUUGAAACUUUAUGUAAAUUGUCUUGAUACGACAUAAAUGAAACUCAGUGACAAAAAGGAGUUACUUCUCCAUUAGAGUGAGUUUGUUCUUGGCAACGUAAGUGAAAGUUAGGAGAGUCAUUCAGUCAAAUUGUCGGUAUGGAUUAUUAUCCGUAAAUGCGUCAUACGUUGGAUUAUUAAAAUCCAAUUCACCUUUUUAGUUUUACAAAUUGUUCAAGACUUAUGUAAUGUUAUCCAGUUACAUUUUUUUAAAUACAAUAGAGCGAAUCGGUAGGUAACAAAGAGAAGCCAAACACUUUCGUGUCGAGUUGUUUUGCAUUGUUACAAAAACAUUAUCAUUACAACAACAAUCAAAGAGUUUGGUGUGUGAAUAUAAAUUCAAAAAAAAAAAAAAAAAAGUUUAUAGAAACUGCAGGUAGAAAGUGAAGUUUGGUGGAAAGAGGGUGAAAGUAUGGUAUGGGAAAAUUGUGUCUUUAAUAGGCUAGUUGUGAAAAAUGUCCAGGUUCUCUUUCCUUGUAUGAAAUACUAAUCAAAUUGGUCAAUUAUUAUUAUCAGAAACAUUGGCAUAGAUACAAACCAUAUAUGAACACUUGCACACAUGUAUUUAUGUGAAAUAAAGAAUAGUCACAACAGCAAUGAAGGGUUUUCUGUCAGUUUCCGUUGCCUUCUGCCGACGUUUAUGAGGUUGGUCCCCUCCUACCGUCGUUAAUGGUUUUGAUUUUAUAAACUAACACAUUCCGAAUAUAAAAGUUAUAUAGUUUUCGUAUAUGUCUAUUGCUUGUUCACAUUUUCUUAUAGGUUUCGAAAACAGCAUUACAUUAUGAUCUAAUACCACAAGGGAACUUGUUUUCUUUGGACGACUUGUGACACGUCUGUUCCUUAGAUGGUUUUAUGUAUCAAAAUGCAUUUUGGACGACUUGUGACACGUCUGUUCCAUUUAUGCUAAAGUAAAUUAAGUUUUAUAAUAACUUAGUGAAUGAAACUCUUAUUAAGAUACAAGUCAUACAGGCAUGUAUAAUCAGAGAUUCAGAUCAUGGAAACACUAUACACACAUAAAUCAUUCACAGUCACACACACAUAACAACAUGCAUAUGUAAAUACAAACAUACAUAAGUGAGUUGUGUCAAUACCUGUAA
rnacentral:lncRNA from 1 species